rnacentral:lncRNA from 1 species
GGGGGUUUCACUGUUUUGGCCAGGCUGGUCUCGAGCUCCUGAUCUCGUGAUCCGCCCGCUUCGGCCUUACAAAGUGCUGGGAUUACAAGCGUGAGCCACCGUGCCCGGCUCAUCCUGCUUUUGGUUUCAGGUCUCCAUGCCAGUGAAAUGUCACCUCAACUCCACCGUCCCUGGUGUCAGGCAAGCCCGAGGGACCCAAUUCUGCCUUUCUUCUGGAUUUUCCUAACCUGUUAAGAGUCUUGAAAGUCCUUAAACCACGGGAGACUAUCUGGCACAUGACACGGGAUGAGACUUGGUGGGGGUCCCACGGGGGACAGGUCCUUCCAGCGGUUCCUCUGCACCCAGCGCUGCACGGGCAUGGGGCGUGGGUAAUCAGCCUCCCGAAAGCCACGCGAGUCACGGUCCUGCCUGCGAAGAACUCCCAGGGCGACCUUGGGGCUGAGGAGUGGGCCUGCUUCGGCCUUCUGCUCUUCUGUUGUGUGGUGACCCUCACCAGAGGACAGCUUCAUGCUCUUGGACUUCCCAGCCUCAAGAACUGUAAGAAAUAAAUUUCUUUAUAAGUUGCCCAGUCUGUGGUAUUUGGUUAUAGCAGCAGGAAAUGGAGUGAGACAAUGCCCUUUACCAGAUCAAAUUCCCUUUCAUUUCUACUUUGCUGUUUUUACCAUUAAUAGAAUGUGAAAUAUAACAAUAAACAAUAACGUUUGACACUUUGAAACGUAUCAAAUGUUAUUUUUUGGCGUCUAUUGAGAUGAUUAUAUUGUUUUUCUCUUUUAUGCUAUUCAAAUGUUUAAUCAAAUUGACUUUCAAAUGUUGCAUCUAACUUGAAUUCCUGGGUCAAAUUUCACUUGUCAUGAUGUAUUAUCUUUUUUACAUAUUGCUAGGUUUGAUUUGCUAAUACUUUCUUAAGCAUAUUUUUGUGUCUGUAUUCAUGAGAGAUAUUGAUUUAUCAUUGUCUUUUUCUGUAAUGUCUUUCUAAGUUUGGGUAUACUCAUUAUUCUGGCUUUAUAAAAUAAACUCAGUUUCCUGAGAGUCUUAUAAGAUUAGCAUUAUUUCUUCUUUCAAUGUUUGAUACCAUUCACCAGUAACACCAU